AUUGAACGCUGGCGGCAGGCCUAACACAUGCAAGUCGAACGGUAGCACAGAGAGCUUGCUCUCGGGUGACGAGUGGCGGACGGGUGAGUAAUGUCUGGGAAACUGCCUGAUGGAGGGGGAUAACUACUGGAAACGGUAGCUAAUACCGCAUAACGUCGCAAGACCAAAGAGGGGGACCUUCGGGCCUCUUACCAUCAGAUGUGCCCAGAUGGGAUUAGCUAGUAGGUGGGGUAACGGCUCACCUAGGCGACGAUCCCUAGCUGGUCUGAGAGGAUGACCAGCCACACUGGAACUGAGACACGGUCCAGACUCCUACGGGAGGCAGCAGUGGGGAAUAUUGCACAAUGGGCGCAAGCCUGAUGCAGCCAUGCCGCGUGUAUGAAGAAGGCCUUCGGGUUGUAAAGUACUUUCAGCGGGGAGGAAGGUGUUGUGGUUAAUAACCACAGCAAUUGACGUACC
rnacentral:rRNA from 1 species